UGUUUUUUUUUUCUUUUUCAGGGUCAAAAACUGGUUGAACGGAUCCAAAGUGGUCAUAUAAUUGAGUAACUACUUUAGCUUCCUCACUGGAAGGAUGCUGAAGAUAAAGUAUCCACACGUUCUCAAACAUCCUUGGUUGGUACGUGUCAGCCAUCUAAUGCCAAGGACAAAAAUUAAUUCUUAUGAAAAUGUCACUCUCUUUAAAAUGAAAAUGAAUAAAGUCUUCAAAAAGAGA